rnacentral:rRNA from 1 species
GCAAGUCGAGGGGCAGCUGGUCUUAGCUUGCUAAGGCCGAUGGCGACCGGGGCGCGGGUGAGUAACACGUAUCCAACCUGCCGUCUACUCUUGGACAGCCUUCUGAAAGGAAGAUUAAUACAAGAUGGCAUCAUGAGUCCACAUGUUCACAUGAUUAAAGGUAUUCCGGUAGACGAUGGGGAUGCGUUCCAUUAGAUAGUAGGCGGGGUAACGGCCCACCUAGUCUUCGAUGGAUAGGGGUUCUGAGAGGAAGGUCCCCCACAUUGGAACUGAGACACGGUCCAAACUCCUACGGGAGGCAGCAGUGAGGAAUAUUGGUCAAUGGGCGAGAGCCUGAACCAGCCAAGUAGCGUGAAGGAUGACUGCCCUAUGGGUUGUAAACUUCUUUUAUAAAGGAAUAAAGUCGGGUAUGCAUACCCGUUUGCAUGUACUUUAUGAAUAAGGAUCGGCUAACUCCGUGCCAGCAGCCGCGGUAAUACGGAGGAUCCGAGCGUUAUCCGGAUUUAUUGGGUUUAAAGGGAGCGUAGAUGGAUGUUUAAGUCAGUUGUGAAAGUUUGCGGCUCAACCGUAAAAUUGCAGUUGAUACUGGAUAUCUUGAGUGCAGUUGAG